rnacentral:rRNA from 1 species
AUUCGCCCUUGGGGGUGCCCAGGCGCGAAAACUUUACAAUGCCGGCAACGGCAAUAAGGGAACCUCGAGUGCCAGGUUAUAAAUCUGGCUGUCGUGAUGCCUAAAAAGCAUUGCAUAGCAAGGGCCGGGCAAAACCGGUGCCAGCCGCCGCGGUAACACCGGCGGCUCGAGUGGUAACCGUUAUUAUUGGGUCUAAAGGGUCUGUAGCCGGCCGGAUAAUUCUCUUGGGAAAUCCACCAGCUCAACUGUUGGGCUUCCAGGAGAUACUGUCUGGCUCGAGGCCGGGAGAGGUGAAAGGUACUUCAGGGGUAGGGGUGAAAUCUUGUAAUCCUUGAAGGACCACCAGUGGCAAAGGCGUCUCACCAAAACGGACCUGACGGCAAGGGACGAAAGCUAGGGGCACGAACCGGAUUAGAUACCCGGGUAGUCCUAGCCGUAAACGAUACUCGCUAGGUGUCGGCCACGGUGCGACCGUGGUCGGUGCCGUAGGGAAGCCGUGAAGCGAGCCACCUGGGAAGUACGGCCGCAAGGCUGAAACUUAAAGGAAUUGGCGGGGGAGCAC